UACGGGGGGGGCAAGCGUUGUUCGGAAUUACUGGGCGUAAAGGGUUUGUAGGUGGCUCGCUAAGUCAGACGUGAAAUCCCUCAGCUUAACCGGGGAACUGCGUCUGAUACUGGAUGGCUUGAGUUUGGGAGAGGGAUGCGGAAUUCCAGGUGUAGCGGUGAAAUGCGUAGAUAUCUGGAGGAACACCGGUGGCGAAGGCGGCAUCCUGGACCAACACUGACACUGAGGAGCGAAAGCCAGGGGAGCAAACGGG
rnacentral:rRNA from 1 species